GACGAACGCUGGCGGCGUGCUUAACACAUGCAAGUCGAGCGGUAAGGCUCCUUCGGGAGUACACGAGCGGCGAACGGGUGAGUAACACGUGAGUAAUCUGCCCUUCACUUCGGGAUAACCACCGGAAACGGUGGCUAAUACCGAAUACGACCAGUCUUCGCAUGAGGUGCUGGUGGAAAGUCUUUUCGGUGAAGGAUGUGCUCGCGGCCUAUCAGCUUGUUGGUGGGGUAAUGGCCUACCAAGGCUUCGACGGGUAGCCGGCCUGAGAGGGUGACCGGCCACACUGGGACUGAGACACGGCCCAGACUCCUACGGGAGGCAGCAGUGGGGAAUAUUGGACAAUGGGCGAAAGCCUGAUCCAGCAACGCUGCGUGAGGGAUGACGGCCUUCGGGUUGUAAUCCUCUUUCAGUACCGACGAAGCGCCCUGUCGGGUGGUGACGGUAGGUACAGAAGAAGGACCGGCCAACUACGUG
rnacentral:rRNA from 1 species